CUUGUUUGGCUGGCAGCAGAUAACUCAGCCAAGGCAGUCGAUAAGGAAGACCUUUCUCCACAGUAGGAGGCCAUACGGUACUACAAAGUGCAGCAGACAGGAUCCUCCUGCAAACCCAGUUGAUGGCUGGUUGCUUGACAACACCCAGCAGGAUAACAUUACUCUGAGUGUUGGUGCUUAUUGAUUGACUUUCCUGGCUUUGUCAUGAGACAUAAAUAAGAUUGCUGCUUGUGAAAUUGAUCACAUCAGGCCUUUGCAGGGUGUCUGACUUUUGACAUCUGAUUGAAAACUUUUAGCAGCCUGCUUCUUCAAGACCAUAGUUGGAAGAAAGAGGAAUAUUUCCACAGAGGAAGUAAUCAUAGCUGUUCUGUGUUGCAUAAAGUAGCUUAUUUAUUAAUAAAAUUGAGUCAAACCAAUUUGGAACCCAGUUAAAAAGGCUCUCCAUUUAUGAAGCUUGCCUCUGUAGCCAAAGCAAUGGAAAAACAGCUACACAUCCCAUGACGUUUAUAUUGGUUCAUUUUCUGCACAGUUUCUGGAUCUCUGCUGCCCCCAAAUUUUCUUUAAAAAAGAAAACCAUAAGUGAUGUAUUACUUAAGCAACAUAUGCAUGUAAAGGCAAGAGACACGGCUGCCUUACCUCCAUGCAGACUGGACAGGAACUUGCUCGCACUCGUGACACCACCUCUCCUAUCAUUAUUUCUGGGAGUGAUGUUAGUGGUGGUGUUGCUCUUAAGAGGCACCCCCGUGGCCAAUCCAGGAGAAAAGAGAAGUGUGCCAUCCAGCACGACUGAUAGCCAAGCUAUGGCUCUUCUCACCCUCCUCUAGCUCCAUCAGGAGGAGAUGAUGGGGUGGGGGCAAACUCUGGGGGCAGCCAGCCAACAAAUGAGCCUACACCAGAGACACCUCUCUCCAUGUUCAGGGAGCCACUAGUAAGGCUUCAUCCUCCUCCGUUUCUUCAUCACCAAGGUGGGGGUGGAAGUGGGGAGCAGGAGGAGCAGGUGGGGAGGGUCACCCUGGCUUUUGCAAAAGAGGAGGAGAACCCAAAGCCAAGAUCUCUUUCAGUCUCCCACCCCCCUCCUCAUCCCCCUCCUCAUCUGAACCCCAGAAUAGAAAAUCGCUCAUCUUGCUACCUUUUUCCACUAAAUUUGCUCUUAUUUCAUUCUGCUUCGGAUAACAACUGCCUGUCUGUUAUCAAUAACAACUGAAUCAAUACAGGAUUGGUAGAUUUUAAAACAACC